UUUAUUUCUGCUUAUCCAUUAGAAUACAUCAUUCCUAUAUAUAUAGAAUUUCUGCUAACAAUUUCUAACGGAUUUUGGAAUGGUGUGCCUUGGAGGAAAAACAAAUGCAAUUGCAAGGGAGACAAUCUUCAAUAGAAUGUGCUACUCAGCCGACAAGGAAUCUAGGGACCACUACUCAGCUGUCAGCUCACCCACUAUUUGCUAACGAAAUCCUUGAGUUCUUGACCUUGCUGCUCCCUGCUUCUGAUCAUAACAACCGGAGAAGCAGAGAGCGGAAAGAGGAGAAAGAGAAGGUGUGAAAAUGCGCGUAGAGAAGAGGAAAAAGAUGAGAUGCUGCAAUUUAGACUCACUGUGAUCAUGCUCAUGUUUAUGGCACCGACUAGAGCUUAGUUUCGUUCCCUUUCUCUUUAUGCUUACUUGCAAAAUGAGUCUUCCUAUUUUUUCUCAUUUCAUUAAAUAGGUCUUUUUAUUUUUUAAUUCA